GAGGUUCAAGAGCAUCUCAAGUGUUUGGAUAUAUAGCAUGCAUACUAGAAAGAGAGAGGGUCGGGGAGUUGCUGAAUCAAAAGAAAGAAAAGUUGGUUCAGAACUAAGAUGCAAAAAAUUGUUUUACUUUCAAAAACACUUUACAAAUGAGUUCAACAAAAAGUAAAAAUGCCACUAGUAUAUUUUUGAUUCCAUAUUCUCUCUCAUCCACACAUAGAAAACAUCAUUCGUAGCUAUCAAAUUACAAAAUAUGACUCAAUGAUUCACGCUACAUCUACUACUCAGAAUAUGUUAAUGAGAAGCCCACAAAUAAACAACAAAAGGUAAAAAAUGCCAGUGGCUUUUUUCUCUACUGCUCAUCCCAUUCAUCAUUCUUGUAGGAUAUCAGAGUGUCAACUUUGUGUAUCUGCAUAAACAAUCAAACAAAACUCGAGCAAGUUAACUACCAUUACAGACAGAUCUUUAUUUUUCACAGACAAGUAGUACCAACAAAGAAUUUUAGUACCUUAGUGUCAAAAGAGUGCAAUUUCACCAUUUUAGGACUUGCAAUCAGUUUUGAAUCACUCUCAAACAUGAAAAGACAAUAUGAAAACCUUUUCCAGAAAAAAACAUCAGGAGCUUUACAAGGUGAUUUAUAAUACUAAAUAACCAGAGUACAAAUCAGAAAACAAUAUACUACAUUUUCAAAUGUGUCAUUCCCAGUAUAGCACAACACAGUUCCUUUUUAUUUCUAAUAAGAAAGAUAUGUAUAAAAAUACGAGGCAGUUCCUAAUUAGUAUCCACUUUAAUGAAUAUUAUUACAGUGAAAAACAAAUUUUGCUGGUACAAUGUAAUAACAACCAAAAACUAUAUAAAUGAGAAGCUUUUAACUUAGUAUCAAGCCAAUACAAUUAAAGACAGAGUCAUUGUAAAUUGGUUUGCUAUAAAGCGUGGCUUCAUAUCUUGUAAACCCUCUAACUGGGUAUUCAUCACAAAUUUAAAGUAAUCAAAAACUCACAACACAAAUCCCUUAAAAAUACCUAUAAUAUAAUAAAUCCUAUAAUUUCCACAACUUAUGAAAUAUCACAUGAUUCACAUCUAAACAAAACAAGCCCACCACCAAUUACAAAAAUUAUCAAAACUAAAACAAACAAACCACCAUAAAAAAGCCCUAAACGCCCUAAACUAGUAGAGAAAUCCAUUGACUAAAUCUCAAAAUAAACUCAGAAAACAUACCAUCUGAGCCGGUGAAAUUGGGGUGAGAUCAGUUUACCGGCGUGGGCGACUGGAAAUUGGGGUGAAAUUUACCGGCGUGGGCGAUGAAAAGGUCCGUGACGGAGGCGGUGGUGGCGAAGGAGAGAAGAACGAGCGACGGUGGUGAGGUGGUGGUGGUGGUGGAAAUGAACUGGCGAGAGAUGUUGAGGAAAGAGAGAACUGGAGAGACAAAAGAAAAGCUGAGAUAGUGACAUAGUGAGUGUUAAAUUGUGAGCGUGAGAUCAGUUUUAAAAUAUCCAAUGACUCAAAUUUUGCACCGUACUAAUGACCGGUACAUUGAGUACCGGUCCUCCCCCAAUCCGAUAAAGAUUAUAAUCUUCAAAUCAAAUGCAUCUCUCAAAAGAUGUUGAGAAAGAAAAUGACAGGCCACCUAUCCUAUUAAAUAUUAAUGACAGCCCAU
rnacentral:lncRNA from 1 species